rnacentral:lncRNA from 1 species
AACAUGAGGAACUGUAUUAAAGGGUCGCGGCAUUAGGAAAGUUGAGAACCACUGCUCUAGAUCCAAGUUCAGAAUCAGAAUACUGAUAAUCUCAAUCUCUUCUCUCAACUGUAUCGAGCCAUUGAGUAUUCAGUGGCUCGAUACAGCUGUGAGAAGAUUUCUCUUGGUGUAUCUGGAUGGUCAUGGCUAAAAAUAUUAAAAUCUGAUAAAGUGAAAUGGAUACCUAGACAAAGCCACAUCUCUUGUAUUAACAAAAUAUCCAACCAUGCAUAAUUUUCCAUGUUGAUGAGUUGUGAGCAAUUAGUCUGAAUGCCUCAGGCAUUCCAUUGAAUCAUUUGUAGUGAGAACUAUCCAUUGAAUGAUUAAAUUUGGAAGAUGCUUACUAAGCUUAACUAUAUUUACCAAGAUUGGAAAUAUAAGAAGCAAGUAACUGCUACUGAUCCUGAUGCAGUGAUUGAGCCACUCCUGACUGAUCACAUCACUGCUCAUCUCAAAUGACCUGAGUCCAUAUUUUCUGACAUUUCUGAGGCCAUAUCUCUGGAACCUACAGUAUUCCUCAAAAGGAGUGACUGGCCACUCAAGAGAUUAUCUUGUGAUGACUUUUUGCCUUUCUUUUGGUACUUCAAAAGCAGUAUAGCUAGAGAGGCCAAGGCCACCACCAGUUGUCCAGUUGGAUGAUGUGCUUCAGAUUUUGUUUGACAUUUCCAUAGAUCUGCAUCUAAACUAGUCAAUGCCAUCAAAACCAUGACUGUUGUUUCCAGAUGCUGGAUGUGUGGUUCACACACCUUUAGCUGGAAGGUGAAUGUUUGUAUGAUUGUGAGAAGAGAUUGAGAAGACUCUGAAGGACUGAAUUAAAGGAUUUUGUCUUGGGGCUGAUGGAAUGACAAAUAAGCAUAUUGCUUACUAUCUUGGAGACAAGAUUUAAUUUAUAAUCUCACACCUUAUAAUUUUUCAGGAGUUCCAGAUUUGGAUCUGGUUCAUUAACUAAAAUUAAUCUAAUAAGUC